AGGGGUGUAGCUCCAAUUGGCAGAGCACGCGGAUUCCAAAUCCGCGUGUUGGGAGUUCGAAUCUCUCCACCCCUGCCA
rnacentral:tRNA from 1 species